AUUGAACGCUGGCGGCAGGCCUAACACAUGCAAGUCGGACGGUAGCACAGAGAGCUUGCUCUCGGGUGACGAGUGGCGGACGGGUGAGUAAUGUCUGGGGAUCUGCCCGAUAGAGGGGGAUAACCACUGGAAACGGUGGCUAAUACCGCAUAACGUCGCAAGACCAAAGAGGGGGACCUUCGGGCCUCUCACUAUCGGAUGAACCCAGAUGGGAUUAGCUAGUAGGCGGGGUAACGGCCCACCUAGGCGACGAUCCCUAGCUGGUCUGAGAGGAUGACCAGCCACACUGGAACUGAGACACGGUCCAGACUCCCACGGGAGGCAGCAGUGGGGAAUAUUGCACAAUGGGCGCAAGCCUGAUGCAGCCAUGCCGCGUGUAUGAAGAAGGCCUUCGGGUUGUAAAGUACUUUCAGCGGGGAGGAAGGCGAUGUGGUUAAUAACCGUAUCGAUUGACGUUACCCGCAGAAGAAGCACCGGCUAACUCCGUGCCAGCCGCCGCGGUAA
rnacentral:rRNA from 1 species